rnacentral:rRNA from 1 species
AUUGAACGCUGGCGGCAGGCCUAACACAUGCAAGUCGAACGAGUGGCGGACGGGUGAGUAAUGUCUGGGAAACUGCCUGAUGGAGGGGGAUAACUACUGGAAACCGUAGCUAAUACCGCAUACCAUCGGAUGUGCCCAGAUGGGAUUAGCUAGUAGGUGGGGGAAAGGCCCACCUAGGCGACGAUCCCUAGCUGGUCUGAGAGGAUGACCAGCCACACUGGAACUGAGACACGGUCCAGAAUCCUACGGGAGGCAGCAGUGGGGAAUAUUGCACAAUGGGCGAAAGUCUGAUGCAGCCAUGCCGCGUGUAUGAAGAAGGCAUUCGGGUUGUAAAGUACUGUCAGCGGGGAGGCGUUACCCGCAGAAGAAGCACCGGCUAACUCCGUGCCAGCAGCCGCGGUAAUUC